rnacentral:rRNA from 1 species
UACAGAGGGGGCAAGCGUUGUUCGGAAUUACUGGGCGUAAAGGGCGCGUAGGCGGCCUUCUAAGUCGAACGUGAAAUCCCCGGGCUCAACCCGGGAACUGCGUCCGAUACUGGAAGGCUUGACUCCGGGAGAGGGAUGCGGAAUUCCAGGUGUAGCGGUGAAAUGCGUAGAUAUCUGGAGGAACACCGGUGGCGAAGGCGGCAUCCUGGACCGGCAUUGACGCUGAGGCGCGAAAGCCAGGGGAGCAAACGGG